UCCAGUGGUGGUCAGGUGUCUUUGUCAUCUCGAUGUCUGUGACAGUGUUACACUGCUGGAAGAUAAAAGUACUGUCCAUUUUAGCUGUCUGUCCUCUGUUCUGCAGGCAGCUGAUACCAGUGGGGGACAGUAUUGUGCUUCUUUGAGAGUGUGCUAAGCAGUCAAUAUCCUGCUCAGUGCUAGAGUAGAAGCUUACACA
rnacentral:snoRNA from 1 species